UGGGGAAUAUUGCACAAUGGGGGGAAACCCUGAUGCAGCGACGCCGCGUGAAGGAAGAAGUAUCUCGGUAUGUAAACUUCUAUCAGCAGGGAAGAAAAUGACGGUACCUGACUAAGAAGCCCCGGCUAACUACGUGCCAGCAGCCGCGGUAAUACGUAGGGGACAAGCGUUAUCCGGAUUUACUGGGUGUAAAGGGAGCGUAGACGGCAUAACAAGUCUGAUGUGAAAGGCUGGGGCUUAACCCCGGGACUGCAUUGGAAACUGUUAAGCUUGAGUGCCGGAGGGGUAAGCGGAAUUCCUAGUGUAGCGGUGAAAUGCGUAGAUAUUAGGAGGAACACCAGUGGCGAAGGCGGCUUACUGGACGGUAACUGACGUUGAGGCUCGAAAGCGUGGGGAGCAAACAGGAUUAGAUACCCUGGUAGU
rnacentral:rRNA from 1 species